AAACAAUUCUACAAAUUAUUAUCUUUUUAAUCCAAGAUUAAUCUUUUCUUUUCAGUCCCAAACAUAGGAAUGAAUUGUUUAUCUUUUCUUUUUUCUUUUUUCUUUUGCACUGUGAAAGAAAAAUUCUUUGAUAAACUUAUUGACUUGGAAGUGCUUUCAGAUUCAAUCAAGGAAAUUGAUUUUUCUUCUACAGAGGGUUUUUUGAUGGAUUUCUGAGUUUUGAUACGAUUCAAUCAAAGAAAUUGAUUUUUCUUCUACAGAGGGUCUUUGGAAGAUGGAUUUCUGAGUUCUGAUACGGGAAAUAAUGGAUUUUGUGACAACAAUAUAGUUUACCAAAUACAUAGGAUUAACAAGAUCAAGGUGAGUACCUUCUAACUUUUAGCUAUCAUAAUUUCUAAAAUCACAAAUUAAUGGUAAUUGUUACUUGAUAAUUUGCACACAUAAUAUUUCAGAUAAUUGUUAUAAUGAUCUCAAGCAUUAAAUGUUCAUUAUUUCAACUUAGACAAAACAAAAACUGCAUUGAAUAAAUUAUACAACAAAAAGUGUACCCUUUAUGAAGUAGGCUACUUUUAAGUUAGAAAACAAUUUGUUAAUUUUAACAAACAAAUGUUUGCAUUUCGAAUGAUCAAGUCUAAAACAUUUGGUAUAAUUUCACAAUUGCACUUUUGUUUUCAUUUUUCUUAU